CCUACGGGAGGCAGCAGUAGGGAAUAUUGGGCAAUGGGCGCAAGCCUGACCCAGCAACGCCGCGUGAAGGAAGAAGGCUUUCGGGUUGUAAACUCCUUUUCUCAGGGACGAAGCAAGUGACGGUACCUGAGGAAUAAGCCACGGCUAACUACGUGCCAGCAGCCGCGGUAAUCCGUAGGUCGCAAGCGUUAUCCGGAUUUACUGGUUGUAAAGGGCGUGUAGGCGGGAAAGCAAGUCAGAUGUGAAAACCAUGGGGUCAACCUGUGGCCUGCAUUUGAAACUGUUUUUCUUGAGUUCUGGAGAGGCAGACGGAAUGCCUUGUGUAGCGGUGAAAUGCGUAGAUAUUAGGAGGAACACCAGUGGCGAAGGCAGUCUGCUGGACAGCAACUGACGCUGAGGCGCGAAAGCGUGGGGAGCAAACAGGAUUAGAUACCCUUGUAGUC
rnacentral:rRNA from 1 species